UUUCCCAUUUUCUAUCCACUUAAAAAUCACUGGGUGUGGUACAAGCAUGUCUGUGAAUGCAGUACUGUGGGAGGCUGAGGCAGGAGGAU
rnacentral:miRNA from 1 species